UUCCAGGGAAGCUAAUUAGAGCGUAUCUCAGUUCUGCACAUCUCAGGGUGGGUGUUCAUUUCUCUUCUCUCCCGGUGCAUGAAGUGUUGCCAGAGCCUGGUGUUAAAUGAAAAGGACAAUUUGGGGCUCCUAGGUGAACUGUUGCUGUGGUUAUUGAAUACUUGGCGCAUAGUCCUAGCUGCGCCCGGGAAGACGCGAGGAACUCUUCCUGGAGGAGUGGGAUCUCACGCUCGGGACUGGGGCUCGCCAAGCAAUUUCCUGAACGUGACCUUAUGAUGCGCGUUCCUCGGGGUUAAAUAUUGUACCCAUUUUGCAGACAUAGAGAGAGAAAGAGGCAGAGACACUGGAGGAGGGAGAAGCAGGCUCCAUGCCAGGAGCCCGACGUGGGACUCGAUCCCGGGUCUCCAGGAUCGCGCCCUGGGCCAAAGGUGGCGCUAAACCGCUGAGCCACCUGGGGAUCCCCCAAAAAGAUUUCAUUGAGGUUUUGCUUCCCCCAGACCUUUGUCCUGCCGUGAUGGCCUUUGUUGCCCAUCAGCCUUUCAGAGCCGACAUAUCACCGAGCAUGCGUAUUUUACAAAACCCACAAAACCCUACAGUUUCCAUGAAGAUCCAGGAAGAAAACAGAGAAACUGGGGUUUGCCCUUGUGCCAAUUCUAUUGCAUCAAGAAAAUAAGUGCAGUCAUUUUUUGUGUGUACGUUUGGGAUUUUAUUUUUUUUUUCCUCUGGGUUAAUUCUAGGGCAUUAACGUGAAUAAAAAUGCCUCUGCUGCUCUGGCAGGGUUUCUGGAA